AGAGUUUGAUCCUGGCUCAGAUUGAACGCUGGCGGCAUGCCUUACACAUGCAAGUCGAACGGCAGCGCGGGGCAACCUGGCGGCGAGUGGCGAACGGGUGAGUAAAAUAUCGGAACAUACCCUAGAGUGGGGGAUAACGUAGCGAAAGUUACGCUAAUACCGCAUACGCACUAAGGUGGAAAGUGGGGGAUCUUCGGACCUCAUGCUCAUGGAGUGGCCGAUAUCUGAUUAGCUAGUUGGUGAGGUAAAGGCUCACCAAGGCGACGAUCAGUAGCUGGUUUGAGAGAACGACCAGCCACACUGGAACUGAGACACGGUCCAGACUCCUACGGGAGGCAGCAGUGGGGAAUUUUGGACAAUGGGGGCAACCCUGAUCCAGCAAUGCCGCGUGAGUGAAGAAGGCCUUCGGG
rnacentral:rRNA from 1 species